UACGUAGGGUGCGAGCGUUAAUCGGAAUACUGGGCGUAAAGCGUGCGCAGGCGGUGAUGUAAGACAGAUGUGAAAUCCCCGGGCUCAACCUGGGAACUGCAUUUGUGACUGCAUCGCUGGAGUGCGGCAGAGGGGGAUGGAAUUCCGCGUGUAGCAGUGAAAUGCGUAGAUAUGCGGAGGAACACCGAUGGCGAAGGCAAUCCCCUGGGCCUGCACUGACGCUCACUGCAC
rnacentral:rRNA from 1 species